GGGGUGUCUUAUGCACCUAGUCGCUUGAUUAAAAACGAUUUCAAAUUUUGAUCUAUCUUUGCUUUUUCAAAAAUGUAUAAAGGAUCAAGAAAGUAUAAAGGAUCAAGAAAAUUAGCCUGGUCUGCAGCCAUUCAUCUGUAAAGACUGCACAUAGAAAAACAGACAGGAGCAUCUCUUUGAGGACCAGGCCAGCCUAUGGAUCCUGCUGAGGACAGAAGAGGUUGCCGGUUCCCUUGGAACUGCAGUUUACUGGUAGUUGCCAUAAACUACCACUGUAAGCCACCACAUGGGUGCUGGGAACCCAGUCCUAACUGCUGAGCCAUCUCUCCAGCCCAUUUCUAAGUUUUGACUGCUGUUUGCCAAACUAUGGACAUUACAUACAUUGAAUCUUAUGCUCGAGGUUUUGAAAUCGUUUUGCUCAUUGUCUGCAAUAUUUCCCUCUUUGCCACUAGAAGAAAAAGCAACACAAUAAAAAUUGUAACUCCAUCAAAACCCUGAUUAUUCUGGAAUGUAGACCAAGCCAACAUGGAAGAAUCAGAGAACCUCCUGCCUUUGUCUCCUGGGUGUUGGGAUUAAAAAUAUGUGUGCCACAAG
rnacentral:lncRNA from 1 species